rnacentral:rRNA from 1 species
AACGAACGCUGGCGGCAGGCCUAACACAUGCAAGUCGAGCGAGGACUUCGGUUCUAGCGGCGGACGGGUGAGUAACGCGUGGGAAUGUGCCCUUCUCUACGGAAUAGCCCUGGGAAACUGGGAGUAAUACCGUAUACGCCCUAUUGGGGAAAGAUUUAUCGGAGAAGGAUCAGCCCGCGUUGGAUUAGGUAGUUGGUGGGGUAAUGGCCUACCAAGCCGACGAUCCAUAGCUGGUUUGAGAGGAUGAUCAGCCACACUGGGACUGAGACACGGCCCAGACUCCUACGGGGGGCAGCAGUGGGGAAUCUUAGACAAUGGGGGCAACCCUGAUCUAGCCAUGCCGCGUGAGUGAUGAAGGCCUUAGGGUUGUAAAGCUCUUUCAGCUGGGAAGAUAAUGACGGUACCAGCAGAAGAAGCCCCGGCUAACUCCGUG